rnacentral:rRNA from 1 species
AGUGAACGCUGGCGGUAGGCCUAACACAUGCAAGUCGAACGGCAGCACAGUAAGAGCUUGCUCUUACGGGUGGCGAGUGGCGGACGGGUGAGGAAUACAUCGGAAUCUACUUUUUCGUGGGGGAUAACGUAGGGAAACUUACGCUAAUACCGCAUACGACCUACGGGUGAAAGCAGGGGAUCUUCGGACCUUGCGCGAUUGAAUGAGCCGAUGUCGGAUUAGCUAGUUGGCGGGGUAAAGGCCCACCAAGGCGACGAUCCGUAGCUGGUCUGAGAGGAUGUUCAGCCACACUGGAACUGAGACACGGUCCAGACUCCUACGGGAGGCAGCAGUGGGGAAUAUUGGGCAAUGGGCGCAAGCCUGAUCCAGCCAUACCGCGUGGGUGAAGAAGGCCUUCGGGUUGUAAAGCCCUUUUGUUGGGAAAGAAAAGCAGCAGGUUAAUACCCCGCUGUUCUGACGGUACCCAAAGAAUAAGCACCGGCUAACUUCGUG